UACGGAGGGUGCAAGCGUUGUUCGGAAUCAUUGGGCGUAAAGGGCGCGUAGGCGGUCCAGCAAGUCGGGUGUGAAAGCCCUGGGCUCAACCCAGGAAGUGCAUCCGAAACUGUUGGACUUGAGUACGGGAGAGGGAAGUGGAAUUCCUGGUGUAGGGGUGAAAUCCGUAGAUAUCAGGAGGAACACCGGUGGCGAAGGCGACUUCCUGGACCGAUACUGACGCUGAGGCGCGAAAGCGCGGGGAGCAAACAGG
rnacentral:rRNA from 1 species